rnacentral:rRNA from 1 species
CCCAUAAGACUGGGAUAACUCCGGGAAACCGGGGCUAAUACCGGAUAACAUUUUGAACUGCAUGGUUCGAAAUUGAAAGGCGGCUUCGGCUGUCACUUAUGGAUGGACCCGCGUCGCAUUAGCUAGUUGGUGAGGUAACGGCUCACCAAGGCAACGAUGCGUAGCCGACCUGAGAGGGUGAUCGGCCACACUGGGACUGAGACACGGCCCAGACUCCUACGGGAGGCAGCAGUAGGGAAUCUUCCGCAAUGGACGAAAGUCUGACGGAGCAACGCCGCGUGAGUGAUGAAGGCUUUCGGGUCGUAAAACUCUGUUGUUAGGGAAGAACAAGUGCUAGUUGAAUAAGCUGGCACCUUGACGGUACCUAACCAGAAAGCCACGGCUAACUACGUGCCAGCAGCCGCGGUAAUACGUAGGUGGCAAGCGUUAUCCGGAAUUAUUGGGCGUAAAGCGCGCGCAGGUGGUUUCUUAAGUCUGAUGUGAAAGCCCACGGCUCA